rnacentral:rRNA from 1 species
AGAAGCUGGCGGCGUGGAUUAGGCAUGCAAGUCGAACGGUAUCAUCCUUCGGGGGUGAGAGAGUGGCGAACUGGUGAGUAACACGUAGGUUAUCUACCCUCAAGACGGGGACAACCCAGGGAAACUUGGGCUAAUACCGGAUGUGAGCAACUUUUAGUUGUUUGAAAGGUGGCGUAAGCUGUCGCUUGGGGAUGAGCCUGCGUCCUAUUAGUUAGUUGGUGAGGUAACGGCUCACCUAGGCAAUGAUAGGUAGGCGGCCUUAACGGGUGGUCGCCCACACUGGGAUUGAGAUACGGCCCAGACUCCUACGGGAGGCAGCAGUCGAGAAUAGUCUACAAUGGUCGGAAGACUGAUAGUGCGACGCCGCGUGAACGAUGAAUCCCUUCGGGGUGUAAAGUUCUUUUAUAUGUGAGCAGUGCUUCUUAUAUUAACAGUAUGGGGAGAGAGAUAUUAGCAUAUGAAUAAGCAACGGCUAACUCCGUG